AGGAAGGUUAGCCCAUGGUGAUCAUUGUGAAAUAGGGUGACCAGAUGUCCUGAUUUUAUAGGGACAGUCCCAAUAUUUGAGGCUUUGCCAAUAUUACCCCCGAUCCCCCUGUCCCGAAUUUUCACACUUGCUAUCUGGUCACCCUAUUGUGAAAUGUCUACAUAUAAGUGCCUGCAAAUGAAUCAGAGGGUUAUGGAGGGAAAAGCCUUAUGGGUAAAUUCCCCUGGCCAGUGCAAGGUUGUUCACUAAAGUUUACUUUCUAGUGCUUUGUAGCUAAUGGCCACACACUGUGUAGUAUAUGGAUGAUAGCAUGUUUCUAUAUUUAGACAUUGGGUAACUAUUACUACAGCAAUAUCGAGAGUAACUAUUUUAAAAUUUGAAUUGAGAUGAACAUCACUUGUUUGAGCUCAUUAGGGCAAUGAAUAAUCACUCCCCAUCAUGACCAUGACAAAUCUGGCUCACAUACAAACUUGCUGUCCCCAAACUGUGCUGACAAUGAAUUCUCAAAGGGUGAGGAGGGGGCGGGGGUGAGAUGAGGGAAGGAGUGUUAUCUCCUGUUAAAAAAAAUCCUGGGUGGGAGUCAUAAGCAUGACAUUGUAUUUUCCAUGACUUCAUUUACCAGCGUGGUGAGGUUUUCUGCUCCCAACCUCUGUGCACCCCGGAGAGCAGUUUAGGUCUCCAGGGAUCUGCUGGAGCCACAAGGCCAUCUGAGGGAAAGCCCAGUUCUACCACUUUGCCAUCAAGGCCCCUUGUCUCCACUCCAGUUCCCUUGCAGUCUGGCUUUGUAGGGAGGGGGGAGGGGUUCGUUGCCCCUGAAAACCCUCAUAAAUGAAGAUUCCACAGCAACAAGGGGAUUGUGCAAAGGGCUAAUUACAGCCUGGGGCUGCAUUAACCUUUUGUGUGGAUUCCCCACUGGGAUAUGUGUGUGUGUGUGUGUGUGUGUGUGUGUGUGUAAAGCACCCAUCCCCCAUCCUUGCUUUGUCCUUUCUCUCCUGCCCCCUCCCCACAGGCAGAUUUUAGAAACAUGGAGGGCCUUCUUCAGAGUCCCAGGGUGGGUGGGUGUGAAAUGGUGCCACAGAGACAUCUAACUGCCCCACUGUCGCUCAGGAACAGUUCUUGUGACUGUGCAGGGGUCCCUUCCAUGGUCAGAAGCUGCAGGGCAAAUCCCUCUGAAAGACUGAGAGUUGGGUUGCUUAUUGAAAUGUGCUCUUUGUAGAGGGCAAAUGCAUGAGGAGGGGGUCAGGAGUAGAAAGGAGUUCAAUGCUUUGUCAGAAGUGCAACAGAGAUCAGGAGGAGUAGCAGUAAAUAAUAAAUGUAAUAUAAUAUAAUUAAUAAAAUGCUGCGCAUGUACAUGGUAUUUUUGGUUGGAUCAUUCAAAAGUGCUGUUAAUAAGUAGGUUGUUAUCAUUAGCCAUAUUUCAAAAAUGAAGCACAGAGAAGUAAAGGGACUUGCUCAAGAUCAUAAAGUGAGUCAGUGGCAGAACCGGGACCAGAAACAGUCGUACUUUAGAGUAGUAUUUGCCAGUCCACAGUCAAGAAGGCAUGCUUAGUAACUGAACUCAGAAUUACUCCCACAAGGCUUGCCACUACAGUGGCUAUGCAGGCCAAAUGCACACAAAAGUAAAUAGUGAUUUUUGCCGGAGUUUGACCUGAAGGCUUGGGCCCUAAGGGAUUCAACUAACAAAUCCCCGACCUCCAUCCAUUCACAGGGAGUAAGGCCCUGGUGAAAUCAUUAAAAUGAUAUUUAUUUAAUUCAGGAAAUCAUGUUUUCUAGAUCUCCCACAUGGAACUUUGCAUUGUCAUAGGCAGUCAGGCUGCCCUGAGCAGUUUGCAUUGCCUUCUGUCACAGAACUGCCAUGUCCCAGCCCUAGAUCUGGCAACAUUACAUGUCGCAUCUGAAAAGUAUCUGGGUAUUAUAGUGAUAAUAGUCACAUAAGAAUGGGCAUACUGGGUCAGACCAAAGGUCCAUCUAGCCCAGUAUCCUGUAUUCCGACAGUGGCCAAUGCCAAGUGCUUCAGAGGGAUACCACCAAAGCAGCCCCUUCUAUAGAAAUACCUUCCAUAAUAACUCCCUGAUUUUUACUAACUCUCCAGGGUAAGGUUGCCCUUUAAUAGGAAUUUCUUUCCCAACCUGCUUUUCUGGGUCUGGUCCUUUAAAUUUGGCAGAUCCAAGCAGCUGCAGGCCUAAAGUGGCCAUUUUGUUACUGGCAGUUGCUUGACUGUACCUUUGUUUCUUUCAGGUGAGUGAAUGUCUGUUAUAUAUCACCUUCUAACUCUGAGAAAAGAGAUUGGAAAACAAAAUAAUUGCUGUAAGUAAGGCAGCAGGAGACUUGGAGUCAGGAGCUCUAUCUUUUCUUCCCAGCUCUGCCAUGCAUUUGCUGUGUCACCUUAGCCCAGUCUCUUAACUUUUCUGCACAGAGUUUCCCUGUCUGUAAUAUGGGGAUGAUAAUAUUUACCCACCUCUGGGAAAGGCUUUGAGUUGCUUGGAUGAAAGCUGUUAUAUGCUAUUGUUGUUCUUCUUAAAUACACAAGUAUCCCUAUUAUCCACAGCAGACCACUACUAUAGAACAAUGUAUGCUUUUUCUUUUAAAGGAGAGUAUCCGAGCAAUAAGUACUGAUAAUCCAGUAUAAAACCAUAAGAUCAUUGGAGAGUGAUGGGAUUCACUUUGGAAAAAGCAGGUAGCAUAGAAGUAAUGUGAACCAAAUGCAUUAGUAUUAUACUAGAAGGUCAUUUACUACUAGGAAGUGUUGAUGGUCUUAUGGUUAAAAUAUGGGUCUGGGAAUCGGGAUACCUGGGUUCUAUUUCUGUAGUACUGCAGAUGUACUGUGGGGCUUUGGGCAAGUCUGUGUGCUUCAGUUUUUCCUGUUCUGUGAAAUGGACACAAUAAUUACCUACCCCACCUGGGUGUUGUAAGGUUUAAUUCAUGGAAGACUGAUCCUGUAAGACUUGAUUUCAGUGAGGGCUGGGGCCCUCAGAACUACUUCAGAUGAGGUCUGGGCUGUAAUGGGCUUUGAGAUCCUCUGAGGGAAGCUGCUAUACAAAUAUGAUGUAUAAUAGAAGCUGAUUCCUUCAGGUCAGUUUAGAGGCAUGCUGAAGGGAAAACACAGCGUGUGCUCCCACUAUAGCUCUUUUUUGGAAAUGAGAACAUCUGAAGCAAAUUCCUCAGCUUACUGUACUUUAAGAAAUAGUGAUCUAAAGACUCAGACAUUUUCUAUUAAAGUUUUAAAAACAUAGCUUUAAGUCAUAUAUUACACAGAACACUUUCAUAUCUCAUCUGAUUCAGUAGGUUUUAAACCCCACAGAGGUCACAUUUUGAAACACUACUCACUUUUUACAGCAUCUCCAAACAUUAAAUAAAAAUAAAAAUUAUUAGGAGGAAUAGAGUCAUCCACAGAGGCUAAUAAUGUGUCACUUCGAUAUUAUUAACAAUACUAUUAUUUCUGGUUCAUAUUAAGCAGCUCACGAUUGCUAAUAGCUAUACACUAGAAAAAGUAACCUUUAAUUUUGAUCCAUCUAUGUUACAACUAUAUUGGUGUCAGGGGACCCAGCUACAACUCAGUUGUCCUGGACCCAGUUACAACACCCAUAACAUGAACAGUGUCCCAGCAUCUAAACUAAGGUCUGGAACUGUCCGAUUCAGUUAUGUGACCUGAUUACAGUAGGGUUAAGAUGCAUCCCCACUACAGAUUUGAAGUGUUUUGUAACCAGUUCAAGAUCAGCCUUGUUGCGAUCAGGAUCUCUGAUCGGAUACUUUAGAUGUAAUGUAAAUUGGGCCUAUGUUCUUAUUAUAAUUGGUGAUGGGGAGGAAACAAACCCCCACCACUUAUCUUUAUAAAUGGCUGAAAUAACAGCUUGGAUCUGAACACCGCCCACACUUAGGAGUGCCCCAAAUCAGAAUGUCCAUGUUUGUUCUCACUUGAGUCCAAUUCUCAUUAUGUUUCAUUUAAAAAAAAACACCCUAAUUUUACUAAUUACAAAAACAAAUCUUGUUGAGUUACAAAUGCACUGGGAUCUUCUGUCAAAUACAAAUUCAGGCAAGUAAUAUGCAGGCUGCUUGUCUUUAAAUAUUAACAUGUAGUUAAUUAAUUAAUUAAUUAAAACAGCAAACUGUUGAACUGGUCAGGUUUUCUAAUCUCCAAGGCUGAGUAACUGAAGGCAGCCCUGACUUUUUUCUCCGUUGCGAGUUGCAGGUCAUAUUUAGUGUUGAUGAUUUGUAAUUUAUCCAACAGGUAUAGGCACAUUUCCCUCAGGUAACAUUUGUAAACAGAAAUAAAGCUGGUGGUUUAUUGUUUGCCUCAGAAACUCUGCAAACUCUGUGUCAUAGAGUAGGCAGUGAUGUGUAACCAUGACCAGUCAUAAAAAGAAACCACAAUUGGUUUUUUUUUUAAGGUACAGCUCUAAAAGCAUACUAUGUGGAUUUCCAUGGUGUAGCAGCUGGGCCAGAAAUGGCUUUUUUCCCCUGCUAAGAACUAGUUAUCUGAUUCUCUUUUGUCCCUUAUUCCAAUGUUCAGUUGCAUUUUAGUGUUCAGAGCUAUAAGGAUGCAUUGAAACUUAUGGAGCCUGUCAUUUUAACUAUCUCAUCUUAGCAUGAUUCAUCUCAAUUUACUUUCUUCAAAAAUGUAGUCUAGAAGAAUAUGAGCCAUCUCUUUGGGCUCGCUAGACGGCUGCAUGAAAGGAAGACAAUGCCAGCCAACUUGUAAGAAAGGUUCACUUGUCAUGGGGCCGAUCCUGCAAAGUAAUUAGUGCUUCCUGGGAGCUGCUGAGUAGACUCAACUCUGGUAGAGGUCUAUGGGACCGUCAUCAGACCCGAUCUCUUCCUUAUUGUGCUUCUAGCUAGAUAAUAAACGCUAGCAAAAGAACACGUAACAAGUUAGUAGUGUCAAAUGUUCAGUAAUGUGAAGAUUAAAAGAACCUCAGGUAAAUGUGGUGGGUUCGUAAGAGCUAGUAAGAUCAUUAGCCUGGGAUCACACUAGCUUCUGUUCAGAAAACUGAUGAUUUUUGCACUGUGGCCUCCAACCCACAAGCACGCUAGGGCAGAUCCUCAGCUGGCGUAACUUGCCAGUGACUUGAGUUAUUACGUGUUUCCUGAUUUUAAAUAGAGCUAUGACAAUUUAUGCCAGCUGAAGAUCUUCCACUUUUUGCACAGCCCCUAUGAUAGCCCCAGGGAGUAUCACACACUGACCCCUGGUAGACUGGACCCUUUAUGAUGUGUUACAGUCACGAUGCAAAAUGCUUUAGCUGUAGCAAUCUGAACUAAGGCACUGUAAAUUGUUACAGGAACACAUUUUACUGUUUUGACUUGAUUUCAACAGAAUUCAGAUUCACCCGAACUUUAACAGCUGGGUAAUGAACACGAACUUUAAAUAUAAUUCACUGUGGGUCCUUCUGCCCUGUUAGCAUAAUGAAGAGUCGAAACACAAGCAAAUAUCAUUAGUGUUGCAAUAUAUGAAUGGGAAGCUAUGAAUGUGUUCAGAAGACAUAGAACUUUCUCCUUCAAGAGUUCAGUGACACUUAGUCUGUCCUGUUCUCCCUCCGCACUUGUAGUCACUGAUACAGUGAAACAAUAAAAUAUCACAAGACCUGACCCUUUGGCCUUUAUGAAUUAUCUGUUUUAGAAAGAUGUGAAAACUACCUUUUAUAUCCAACAUAAUAGAUAUUUAGACAUUGUGGAUCAAUAGUGAACAAGUUUGCUGGUUAUAGUUAAUGGGUGCCAAAGGGGCAUUCUGACAUUGACCUCUGACACCUUUCUUGACAAGAAAUCUAUAGAGGGAAAAAAAUAGGAAAGACUGCCAGUUUUUAAAGUUAUGAACAUAGAUCUACAGCAAAUAAUGGUAAUUUUCAUGGAGCAGAAAUUUUUCACACUUUCUGUUUCAGAUGAAUUUCUCCAAAAUCCUUAAUUCUGACCAAUGUAAAAUUAAUAACUGGCCCGUGGUGAACAUCUGAAAACAACUGCUUUGCUAUAUGACACAUUUUUCCAUUUGUCACCCAUAUGAUAUUGUUCCUGCUGUCAAAGAAGACUUUUCCCUUUAUAAAAUGGGUUGUCAUUUAUAAUUCCAAACAGGCACCGUUUUUUAAACAGACAUAUCAUAGUGGAUCUGUAUAAGAAGAAAUGCAAGCUCCUGGUCCUUGAAAAGAAACUAAUCUAAACAGAUUUUUAAAAGAAAUUAAGCUUCUAAAAAUGGAAUGUUUAGGAUUUUCUACAAAACUUGUUGCUAAGACUAUAUACUGCCAGUGAAGUAUUCAACUAAAUAGUUUAUCUAGUCUAUUGAAUAUACUAGUCAGCUUCUUAUGUAAUUAGUUGAUGUAAUGAAAGAGUAUUAAUAAAGAUGGCAAUGGCUACUGAUAUAAAAGUAUACUGCUGUAUCAUAUACUUCAUGGUACAUGGUAAAGAAGGUUAGAUUCACCAGUCAUUGUUUAACUGAAUCAAAUAAAUAGCGCUAAUUUCUAACAAUCUGUCCUAGAUGGUAGCACAAUUCAGUAUUCAUCCUGGUAAUGAAAUUAGCUUUGUCAUGUCGAGCCAAAGUGAAAUCUCUGUGAAAGGGUGGGUGAAAUUUCUUUCAAAGAAUAUACCCAACAAUGUACAUACUGUAUUAUUAUGUCACACUUCAGUAGCACUGAACUGAAGUCUCAGUGGUCUUCCUGCUGUUAAGCACCAUUGAAAACACAUUUGUCCUGACUGUUCUUUUCUUUUAACCCCCCUCUCAUCUUGUGCAAGAUGAAUCGCUGCUGGAUCCAGACUGACUCUGAGGGCAACGCCAGGUCUUGAGGAGUUUUGGUGUGUCCAGAUGAGUCAAUUUCUGGCUCCAUGACACAGGACAAUGAAGCGCCAUGACCCGACUGCUGAUGGUGAGCCUUCCCUUUCAUCCUUAGGAUUAUGACAAGUUAUUAAUUGCCACCAUUAGCUGCAGCAGCCUGCCUGAGAUCUCUGCUGCUCUCUGGAGGUGAGAAACUAUGUGCAUGUGAAUGCAGAGAGAAAGGCUGUGAAGCAUUGGGGCAAACCGAGCAACAAUCUGCCCAAAAGGGAUUGUGAGAUUGUGAAUAAUUUAUUAGAAAACAUUUUUCUUUGUCCUUCCCACAGACCCACAAAUCCUCCCCAAGCGCUCUUUACCAGCCUUGCAGAUAAUGUACUUACACAUCUCAGAGCUUGCUAAAUAGACUGAGCAGGCCACAGAGUUCACCCUUAACGCUGCUGUUUCAGAAUGCCUUGCACAGACGAACCACUUUCAUUCUUUCCUGGAAGCAUUUCCUAUGGAAUUUAAUGUAAUUGGGUAAGAAUCUGAAUGCCAAAUGAGCGCUGAGUGCCAGAGUAGUAAGUUGUGUGUGUGUGUGUGUGUGUGUGUGUG